rnacentral:lncRNA from 1 species
AGAGCUGGGGACCGAACCCAGGGCCUUGCGCUCGCUAGGCAAGCGCUCUACCGCUGAGCUAAAUCCUCAACCCCAGCACUGAAGGCUCUUAAGUGGUCAACAUCUCUCCCAGUUCUGAGUGAACCUACCUAUGCGUCUGAAGGAGAGAGUCACCACCCGCCCGCAAGCUGGCCUCUGACCUUCACGGAGAAGCCACACCAUGUGCACACUCAAAGAAUAAAAGAAUAAAUGAGGGCUGGAGAGAUGACUCAGCAGCUAAGAGCACUGACUGCUCUUCCAGACGUCCUGAGUUCAAUUCUCAGCAACCACAUGUCGACUCACAACCAUCUGUAAUGGGAUGCGAUGCCCUCUUCUGCUGUGUCUGAAGACAGCGACAGUGUACUCAC